UGUUAAGAAGGUAGAAACUAGGGCCUGUAGGACCUGCCUUGUUGAUAGUGUUGUUAAGAAGGUAGAAACUAGGGCCUGUAGGACCUGUCUUGUUGAUAGUGCUGUUAAGAAGGUAUAAACUAGGGCCUGUAGGACCUGCCUUGUUGAUAGUGCUGUUAAGAAGGUAUAAACUAGUGCCUGUAGUACCUGCCUUGUUGAUAGUGUUGUUAAGAAGGUAGAAACUAGGGCCUGUAGGACCUACCUUGUUGAUAGUGUUGUUAAGAAGGUAGAAACUAGGGCCUGUAGGACCUACCUUGUUGAUAGUGUUGUUAAGAAGGUAGAAACUAGGGCCUGUAGGACCUGUCUUGUUGAUAGUGUUGUUAAGAAGGUAGAAACUAGGGCCUAUAGGACCUGCCUUGUUGAUAGUGUUGUUAAGAAGGUAGAAACUAGGGCCUGUAGGACCUGCCUUGUUG